rnacentral:tRNA from 1 species
GCUUUGGUGGCCAAGUGGUAAGGCGUCGCACUCGGUAGGUCCCGCCUCAAUCUGGCUCCCCACAGCAGAAUUAUCAACUAACAAUUAUCCAGUAAUGCGAAGAUCGGGGGUUCGAUUCCCCUCCGAAGCA